rnacentral:rRNA from 1 species
AUUGAACGCUGGCGGCAGGCCUAACACAUGCAAGUCGAGCGGGGUUUUCGGACCUAGCGGCGGACGGGUGAGUAAUGCGUAGGAAGCUACCCGAUAGAGGGGGAUACCAGUUGGAAACGCAUGUUAAUACCGCAUAAUGUCUACGGACCAAAGUGUGGGACCUUCGGGCCACAUCCUCUCGGAUGCGCCUACGUGGGAUUAGCUAGUUGGUGGGGUAGUGGCUCACCAAGGCGACGAUCCCUAGCGGGUUUGAGAGGACGAGCAGCCACACUGGAACUGGGACACGGUCCAGACUCCUACGGGAGGCAGCAGUGGGGAAUAUUGGACAAUGGGCGCAAACCUGAUCCAGCCAUGCCGCGUGUGUGAAGAAGGCCUUCGGGUUGUAAAGCACUUUCAGUAGGGAGGAAGCGUUGUGUGUUAAUAGUACACAGCGUUGACGUUACCUACAGAAGAAGCACCGGCUAACUCUGUGCCAGCAGCCGCCGUAACAC